ACAGAAUUGCAGGGUUUCCAGGUGUGAUUGGCUGCAUAGAUGGCACUCACAUUCCUAUCAUAGCUCCUUCAAUAAAUUAAGGAGAUUGUGUGAAUAGGAAAUCUGUCCACAGCAUUAAUGUACAGAUCAUAUGUGACGCAC